rnacentral:rRNA from 1 species
CUACGGGUCGCAGCAGUUAGGAAUAAUCUGCAAUGCGCGAAAGCGUGACAGUUUGAGCCAGAGUGCUUUCUUAUAGAAAGCUUUUGCUAAAUGUAAAAAGUUUGGCGAAUAAGGACUGGGUAAGACUAGUGCCAGCCGCCGCGGUAAUACUAGCGGUCCAAGUCGCAGCCAUCUUUAUUAGGUCUAAAACAUCCGUAGCUUGCUCAAUAAGUUUUUUGUGAAAUUUUAUGUCUUAAACAUAAAGCGAGCAAAAAGUACUGUUGAGCUAGAGACUGGGAGACGUAAAGAGUAUGUUUGAGGUAGCGGUAAAAUGUUUUAAUCUUAGACAGACUAACAAUAGCGAAGGCACUUUACGAGAACAGAUCUGACAGUAAGGGAUGAAGGCUAGGGGCGCAAAACGGAUUAGAUACCCGGGUAGUC